GCCUAGGUGGCUCAGUCGGUUGAGCCUCCGACUUCGGCUCGGGUCAUGAUCUCACGGCUUGUGGGUUCGAGCCCCGUGUUGGGCU
rnacentral:tRNA from 1 species